UAGGGCGAGUGUAAGAACUAAGAUGGCGGCGUUUGUAUAAUUCUGUGCUUACCGGAGUUGGAAAGGCAGCUAAAGGAUAACUCCACUAACGAAAGUUCAAGAAACUCGCCGGUCAUAUGUUGUGG
rnacentral:lncRNA from 1 species